rnacentral:rRNA from 1 species
AUACGUAGGGGGCAAGCGUUAUCCGGAUUUACUGGGUGUAAAGGGAGCGUAGACGGCGAAGCAAGUCUGAAGUGAAAGGACGGGGCCCAACCCCGGAACUGCUUUGGAAACUGUUUGGCUGGAGUGCGGGAGGGGUAAGCGGAAUUCCUAGUGUAGCGGUGAAAUGCGUAGAUAUUAGGAGGAACACCGGUGGCGAAGGCGGCUUACUGGACCGUAACUGACGUUGAGGCUCGAAGGCGUGGGGAGCAAACAGGAUUAGAUACCCUGGUAGUCCACGCGGUAAACGAUGAUCACUAGGUGUCCGUGGGUAUGACCCAUGGGUGCCGCAGCCAACGCUAUAAGUGAUCCACCUGGGGAGUACGUUCGCAAGAAUGAAACUCAAAGGAAUUGGCGGGG